rnacentral:piRNA from 1 species
UGCUGGGAUUGGUCUAUGUGCUGAUG